CCGACAGCACUAGUAGGGCUAGCCGUACCUUGAGCUUUCCUGGUGUUUACAUUCCAGAUUUGCUUCUAAAACAAUAUAUUUAGGAAUUCAACAAUGGAUGUACUAAGGUGCACAGUUUUCAUGAAGACAUGCAGGUGCUGAUCAAGCUGGAGUGUAAGGAACCCAAGCCUGGGACUUGGUCUCAUAUGGGACUGUGGCCGCAGCACCCAAAACAGUUGGCCACAUAGGUGGGGUUCUCGCAAUGUCCUCUGAGUGGAGGAGUGGAAGACAGAAUUUCUGGACUCAUAUCUAGGCGAAAAGAAAGAGCUUCUUGAGAUAUGAAAAGAACACUGCAAGCACAGCAGGC
rnacentral:lncRNA from 1 species